rnacentral:rRNA from 1 species
UACGGAGGGGGCUAGCGUUGUUCGGAAUUACUGGGCGUAAAGCGCACGUAGGCGGCUUUGUAAGUUAGAGGUGAAAGCCCAGGGCUUAACCCUGGAAUUGCCUUUAAGACUGCAUCGCUAGAAUCGUGGAGAGGUGAGUGGAAUUCCGAGUGUAGAGGUGAAAAUUCGUAGAUAUUCGGAAGAACACCAGUGGCGAAGGCGACUCACUGGACACGUAU